CGCCACCAUCCACGCCGGGAGCGGACUCCUGGCGCCGCCGCCGCCGUCCGCGGACGGCCCCUGACAAUAGCCACCGCCGGGCCCCACCUCCACGCACCCCGCGUCCCUCCCCCGCCGGCAACCCGCUCGCCCCACGCCCUCCGCUCGCCCUCGCAGGCGCCGUGUCCGACUCCGGCCUCCCCGACGAGCGCGGGUCGCCGGUUCUCCGCUGCUCCGCCAUCUCCUACAGCCGACGUCGGACGCACGCCCCGCCAUCAGGCUCAGGCGCAUUGGAGGCAGCCAUCCUACCUCGGCCGGCCUCCCAUCGAUGCUGCCGUCGCCGCUCCAGGGCCCUCCGACGACCAGAUCUGGUCAGCGGAGGGGGCGCCCCCCCUCUCGCAUGCCGCUUCACCUCGCCUCGUCUCCUCGCGCAAGCCGCCUCCUCGAUGGCAUUCUGGAGGCCGGAGAGCGGCCUGAGGACAACGACGUCGGCGUCGAGGUAGACGCCGCCCCAGCCUGGCGACGCCGACGCCACAGGCCCCCCGAUCCAGAUCCAGGUAUCAGGAUGGCUUAACUUUCUUGGACGGAUUUCUUGGACGCGGAUCUUCUUGCUCUGCUGCGUGCUGCUGCUUCCGAGGCUUUUCGUCAUUCAUUUGCAGCAAGGAGGGAGGGAAGGAGAAGGCCCCGGCCAAGUCCGGAGGUGGAAGAAGAAGAAGAAAGUGGAGCAAGGGCAAGCAUAAGGAGAAGGUCAACAACGUCGUGCUCUUCGACCAGGCCACCACCUACGACAAGCUGCUCUCCGAGCUUAUCUGUAGGAAAAGCAUAUGCUAUUUCAGAACUAAAAAUGAUGCUGAUUCUGCUAUUUCAAAAAUCAAUUCAGGCUUGGUUGUUGGUGGAAGGGAGGGAUUCAGUUUAUGUGAAUAGCCCUUCGGGUUGAGCUUCUUAUAGUGGAUCAACUUUGUUCAUGUGUUAACUAUUCAACAAGAUUAUAGAAUGCAUGUGAGUGCUGAAAUGGACAUAUGCUUAUGGCUAUUAUCUAGAUGAUAAGGACAACAAUGAAUUUUUUAAGUACUUGCAAGGUGACAGCGAGGGUAGUGCUGCACGGCAGCAGAGCAGCGGUGGUGAGGGGAAUGCCUCAAUGCAUGGUAAACGGGCACUUUGUGCAGAAUUUAUUCUGUAAGACUGAACUUUGUGCAGAAUUAUGGAAGGAAGAAAAGACAAAAGAAUGGCAUAUCAGAGCAACCAAUAAGCAAGCACGAUUGGAAGUCCCCCGAUGAUGUGGUGCUCAACAACAUGCCUUCCAGGAGUCAUGCACAGUACAUGUCCACCGUUGUCUGUGGUGAUCUACCUAAGGCUCUAAGCACUCAAGGCAAGAGAGGUUGGGCUACCAUAUUUUCACUUCAGAAUAAAUCAGGUUAGUGGGUUGUAUUUCGAUUUUCUCAUUGUGCUCUAAUUUAAUAUGCAUAAUAGGUCUCCAAAUUUUCACUUCUGAAUUUUUUAGGCGCAUUGGCUUUUCCAGGCUUUUAUGUGUAAUUGGACUGAGAUGUAGUAAACUGUUGAUUUUGUGCCAGAAACACAUGGCAAAGACUGAAGAGGAAAUGAGUAUAGCAGUAAUAUUGCUAGAGUUAGUCAUGGUAUAUAUUUAAAUACUUCACAGGCAGUUCUCUGAAUUAUUCUUUCCUUGACAUCGUAUGGUAAAACUUAUCACAUGUCGUGCUCACUAUUUGAACAAAUGGUUCCAGUACAUGUUUUGUUUCCCGUGGCCCAAACCCUAAAACUACCCACAUUUUUGGAGAUCAUGUUUUUAAGCUUCAAGCUGAGCACCUGAUGCCUGGUGAAAAUAAGGAUAAAGAGAACAUGCCUCCUCUUGUGAAAGAGGGUGCCAUGAGCUUCUGUAGUUUUUGCAGUGAGAAGCUGAAAUAAGGGAGAGAUAUCUACAUCUAUCAGGGUGACAAAGCCUUUUGCAGCACAGAGUGCAGGGAGAAUUUCAUGGAAAAUGAGAUGGAAGAAGGUGAACCCAUGAUAUAUCAUCUUGCACCUCCGAGCAGUUCACCUUUGGACAAUGGUCCUAUUUUCCAACUGAUCCGUUGAGUGAAAAUUAGCAACUUGAUAUGGUCGUAUCUGAAGUGCUGUCUGAGGUUAAUAAGUUGCAGCCAUGGAUGUGAUCAUGUUUGCGGAGUUGUUGCCUGAAGAUUUUGUUUGUGCGGCUUACCUCACCUAUUGAUUUCUUUGUUUUGCGUACUAGGAUCCUCAAAUUUUUUGGAGGACUUCGAAGAAUGACUAUAUCUCUGGUCAUAUUAUUAUCUUGAUCAGAGAGGGGCGUGUGUGUGUGCGUGUCUGAACUUGAGUUUGGCUGUUUGGACCUCAUUUUCAGUGGCUGUCGGAUGUUCGACACUUGUGUUACUAUCAUGUAUCUGAACCUAUGUUUUCAGUAUGUAUUUCGGAAAGGAAAUGGUAAACUAUGAUAUCAAUAAAUGUUUAUUUUGUAA